rnacentral:rRNA from 1 species
GACGAACGCUGGCGGCGUGCCUAAUACAUGCAAGUCGAGCGGACCACUUCGGUGGUCAGCGGCGGACGGGUGAGUAACACGUGGGCAACCUGCCUGUAAGACGGGGCUACCACAGGGUAACCGGUGCCAAUCCCGGAUAAUCCUUUUCUUCACAUGAAGGCAAGCUGAAAGACGGUUUCGGCUGUCACUUCUAGAUGGGCCCGCGGCGCCUCAGCUAGUUGGUGAGGUAACGGCUCACCAAGGCCACGAUGCGUAGCCGGCCUGAGAGGGUGAUCGGCCACACUGGGACUGAGACACGGCCCAGACUCCUACGGGAGGCAGCAGUAGGGAAGCUUCCGCAAUGGACGAAAGUCUGACGGAGCAACGCCGCGUGAGCGAUGAAGGCCUUCGGGUCGUAAAGCUCUGUUGUCAGGGAAGAACAAGUCCCGGAGUAACUGCCGGUACCUUGACGGUACCUGACCAGAAAGCCACGGCUAACUACGUGCCAGCAGCCGCAGUAAGAC